rnacentral:rRNA from 1 species
CCUACGGGGGGCAGCAGUGGGGAAUUUUCCGCAAUGGGCGAAAGCCUGACGGAGCAAUACCGCGUGAGGGAGGAAGGCUCUUGGGUUGUAAACCUCUUUUGAUCGGGAAGAAGACAGUGACGGUACCGAUCGAAUCAGCAUCGGCUAACUCCGUGCCAGCAGCCGCGGUAAUACGGAGGAUGCAAGCGUUAUCCGGAUUUAUUGGGCGUAAAGCGUCCGCAGGUGGUUGAGCAAGUCUGCUGUCAAAGCGCGGAGCUUAACUCCGUAAAGGCAGU